rnacentral:rRNA from 1 species
CAGUAGCCGCGGUAAUACGGAGGGGGCUAGCGUUAUUCGGAAUUACUGGGCGUAAAGCGCACGUAGGCGGCUUCGCAAGUCAGAGGUGAACGCCUGGGGCUCGACUCCAGAAUUGCCUCUGAGACUGCGUCGCUCGAAUCCGGGAGAGGUGAGUGGAAUUCCGAGUGUAGAGGUGAAAUUCGUAGAUAUUCGGAAGAACACCAGUGGCGAAGGCGGCUCACUGGACCGGCAUUGACGCUGAGGUGCGAAAGCGUGGGGAGCAAACAGGAUUAGAUACCCCUGUAGUCCCUGUCUCUUAUAC